rnacentral:rRNA from 1 species
AUGGACAGAAGUUGGAUAAAAGCUAGGAAAUUUUCCGAAGAAUACAUCAAUGGAGUGAAAGAGUUCAUGAAUUUCGUUCGUGAAACCUAUUGCCGAGGAUGCUCAAAUUCCCCGUGCCGCAAAUGUCUCAAUCGUAAACACGAACCUCAAGGGAAAGUGGAGGAUCAUAUUCUUAUUUAUGGGAUGUCUAGCACAUAUGAUAGGUGGAUUCAUCAUGGAGAACCAUUAAAUGUUGAAGCUGAUGGAGAUGCACAACAUGUGGAUGGAGCUAUUGAUAUUGUGGUAGAUGUUGCUGAAAAGGAUGUUCGUUUGGAGGAGGAGGAUCUAUAUGAAGAUGAUAGAAUUCAUGACAUGAUACAGGAUCUGUAUGGAUCGGAGGACACGGGUAGACAGCAGUCAAAGUUUGCAAAAGUGAUAGAAGAGGCAAAGUGCUCACUUUACGAAGGGUCUGAAACUUCAAGAUUUUCAUUUGUCGUGAAGUUACUCCACAUCAAGUCUUUCUGUCGGAUCUCCAAUGUUGCAUUUAAUGCAAUACUCGCGUUGUUGGCCAAGUCAUUCCCGAAGUGCUCUAUUCCCAAAUCUUAUGAUGAAGCACUGAAAUUUAUUCGUGCAUUGGGGCUAGGCUAUGAUUCAAUCCAUGUGUGCCCAAAUAAUUAUGUCCUUUUCAGAAAACAAUAUGCCAACCAUGACGAAUGUCCGGUAUGUGGUGCAUCGAGAUGGAAGGACUCAGAUGGGAAAAAACAGAUUCCGAUGAAAGUAUUGAGACAUUUCCCAUUGAUCCCGAGGUUGCAGCGGAUGUAUUGUUCGAAGAAGUCAUCAGAAGAGGUACAAUGGCACAAGCUGAAAAAGAAACCCGUGGAAAAUGAAAUAAGUCAUCCAGUUGACGGUGAAGCAUGGAAAGACUUUGAUAAAAAACAUAGAGAUUUUGCUGAAGAUGCACGGAACCAGAGAAUUGGCAUUGGUACAGAUGGGUUUAAUCCGUUUGGAAAAAUGAGUGCUUCCUACAGCAUGUGGCCUGUAUUUGUGAUGCCUUAUAACCUGCCACCAUGGGCAUGUAUGGAUCAGUGCAACCUCAUGAUAGCCUUACUUAUACCCGGUCGAAAUUCUCCAGGGAAGGAUUUUGAUUUGUUCUUGGAGCCUCUCGUCGAAGAGUUGCUUGAGCUUUGGAAGGGUGUAAGUACCUAUGAUGCCUUAAGUGAAAAAAAAUUUAAUCUACGUGCAGUAGUCCUAUGGUGCAUCCAUGAUUAUCCAGGAUUGAGCACUCUGUCAGGAAGAGUCACGAGUGGCUACUAUGCGUGUCUGCAUUGUGACAAAGAUCCCUGCUCACAGGGGAUAAGGAACAAGAUAUGUUAUAUUGGACUGGAAGAACUCGAAUUUCUAAUUACUCUAGGCAGCUACGGAAACCUGUCAGUCGAACAAGGAGAACCGUUCCAAAGUUAA